rnacentral:lncRNA from 1 species
AAGGAUUCAACUCAGGGCAGUGAGCUGUCCCACAGAAUGCUAACACCCUGCCUUCCCAUCGAGGAAGCCCCCCUUUUCUGAAUGAAGAUAUCCUUUGGCUACAGAAAUGACUGCAAAAAUGGUCCCCCAAGAAACUGGAAUUUCCCCAGGAAUCUCAUGCUGGGAGAAAGAAAAGGCCGAAGCCUGUGCCAGCCAGGAGGACCCUGUCUCUCGGUGUUGUUUACAUCUGUAGACCAUGCUGGUCUCAAACUCUGAGAUCCACCUGCCUCUGCCACCUGAAUGCUUGGGAUUAAAGAGGUGCACAGCUCUGCUGGGCAUAUUAAGUGGUCUCAAGUGGAAGCAGAAGAACAAACAAGCAGUCAUAUGAGGACUCAUUGCUGAUUUGCAAGACGGAAGGAAGAUGAGGGCAAUGAGUUGGGGGCUGAGGCCAGGCCGUGAGCUGCAUCCCUGGCUGAGGCCUCCUUUAGACUUCUGACUUACAGAACCUGGAGGCAGGAACUGAAGCAGAGAUCACAGGGGGACAGCACUUACUGGCUUGCUCAACCUGCUUUCUAUAUAACCCAGAACUAUCUCUCUAGCGACCACACUGCCCACACUGUGUUACGUUUUCAGCAAUAGGGUCUUCACAUCUGACUGUGGUGACAGCAGGAGCAAGGCUACAGCAGGUGCUGUUUUGAGGCCCUCUGGGAAGACAUUUUUUGGAGCAGACAAAUGGCUGAGCUUCUGAAUUGUUGAGUAGGUUCCGGCUCUUUGUUUAGAUUCCCUUAAGGCUUCUACUUUAUUUAGGAGGAUUUAUUGUCCAGUGUCCUGUCUGGUAGCUCUAACGGUUUUCUUUCUCAGACUCUGGGUAAGCGAAGCUCUGGACAGUGCUUGCUGACAGCGCCUUGGCAGCUGCCUCUGGAUUCAGUGCUGUCCCCAGCCAUGGUACUUGACAUUCCUUUCUGAUGUUAGUGAUACACACACACACACAUAUACAUUCUUAUCAUUCAUAUACAUACAUAUAUAUAUAUGUCCCUCAUCUUUAUCAUAUAUAUGAUAUAUACAUAAUAUAUAUGUCAUAUAUAUAUGUGUGUGUAUGUGUGUGUAUGUAUAUAUGUAUGAUAAGGAUGAGAGCCAUGCACCACCACACCUAGUUUAUGCAGUGCUAAAUGUUAAACCUAACAUCAGUCAGGCAGAGGUGGCUCACACCUUUAAUCCCAGCAUUUGGAAGGCAGAGGCAGGCAGAUCUCUGACUUUGACACCAGUCUGGUCUACAGAGAGAACAGCCAGGGCUACACAGAGAAAUCCUGUCUCAAAAAAACCCAAAAAUAACCCCCCCCCCGCCCUUAGCACUGAGUCUAUUUGAGAGAACAAUCUACUAAGUGAGCCACAUGUCCACCCUUUUGCCCAUUUCUUUCUGGUGAGCUGAACCCUAAUGUGAAAGCGUGGUGCAGUGUUUCAGGUGUUUGUUGUGGGAGCUGAGGUCACAGGUUCCGGGUGCCUCCUUUGUGGUUUCCUUUCUCUCUCUGUUUUUGUCGUAGGGCCUGCUAACACUCAGGGUUGCAUGUGCCCACGGUGUAGGGAGGCAAUCCUGACAGGAAGUGAGGCUGAUUUAGGAAAGCAGAUGUCACGUGAAUUGGUGUGUGCCGCUUUAAUGCUGCGUCCUGAGGGUUUUGGUCUGGGAAGAUCAGCCUAGUAAAGCAAAUCCUCAAAGAUGCCAGGGAGGGGACCAUUGUCUGGGAAAGCAAUAAACAACCAACCAACCAACCAACCAACCAAACCAACCAACCAAUCAACCAAACCAACCAGCCAACCAACCAACCAAACCAACCAACCAACCAACCAACCAAACCAACCAACCAACCAACCAAACCAACCAACCAACCAACCAAACCAACCAACCAACCAAAAACGAGUUGCUGGGGUCAUGGUGACUUUUCACAGCAGUAAAACCCUAACUAAAAUACUUUGUUGAGGGGCUCAGAGGAUACUUGUGCCUUUUCCCCUUCACUGGUACUUGAGUCUGCAAGUCGCAAGGAGUGGAGAUGAAGGGGCAGCAGUUUACCUGGGCGCUGGACCGAUGCAUUGCAUCGGUGGAUGGAGGCAGCAGAGGUGGCUCACUGCGUUGAACAUGCUUCACAUGCGCAGCAUUCGGGCCCUGUGUGCGCUCUCUUCAUUCCUCACAAUGCAGAGAGGGAUCUGAAGAAGGGGUAGGGCUGCCUCAUUCACAGAGCUCCUACUUACACCUGUGUCUGAGUGAUUCCUCUUGCUAACAGGUGAAAGUAGGCAACACACAGCAGGUCUAGUCCCUGCCUUGCCCCUCAGCUCUGAGACUAAAGUACUGCAGGUCCUACCAGCUACCUCAUGCCUCCAUUUCCCACUCUGCCUGUGAGUGUCAUCCGAAGCAGGGGUAAACUGCAAAGAACCGCUCUCUGCAGCCAAAGCCAGAUUGUUCCGUUUUCAGGAAUGUUACAGUGAUGUGCUGUGCUGUGCAUCAAACCGGCAAACUGGCCAUGGGGGGAUGCUGUGAUGGACAGUGAAAAUCAGCAGAUGCUACACGUAAAUUAUGAUGGGCAGGUGGAGCCAGCUGUUAAACACUGGCCCCCUGCUCCUAUCCCCCACUGGCAAGGGUGAGAAGUGUCACCCUUCUUCAUUUGAUCAUAGAGAGACGGUGUUCUCUUCUAUCUGUAUGCCAGGCCUCUCCUGGCUGAAAGUGCCCAUGGGAAGCUCUUGUCUUCCUGGCCUGAGCAGAUAAGGAUCCUCAAUUAGCAGAACUGGAAAGAGGGGUUGUCCCUUAUUUAAGGUAUCUGAACCACUGGCUGUGUUUAAAAUAUGCAUAAUGCUCACCAUAUUUACCAUUUCUAAGUGUAUAGCUGUACAUAUAUUCAUUUAUAUUUAUUAAUUUUAAAACUUUAGACCAGGUCUCACCAUGUAGCCCUGAAUGGCACUAAACAGACCAGGUCUGGCUUUAAACUCCCAGAGAACCACUUACCUCUGCCUCCCACAUCAUAUAUCGGGGCAGUUAGUUAUGACUGGAUUCUUGUCCAGCCCUUGGGAGUAUAGAGGGGGAGUUCAGGCCGGUAGGAUAGCUGGGCAAGCUAAGGGCUUUCUCCUCCUUCAAAUUCUAAUGCACUGUCUUAGUUGGGGUUUCCAUGAAGAGACAUCAUGAUCAAGGCAAGCCUAUUAUAAAGACCGACAUUUGAUUGGGGUUGGCUAACAGUUUCCAAGGUUCAGUCUAUUAUCAUCAUGGCAGGAAGCAUGGCAGCAUCCAGGCAGGCACGGUGCUGGAAAUGCUGAGAGUUCUACAUCUUGAUCCUAAGGCAGCCAGAAGACUGACUCCUCACUUCUGCAGUCAACUAGGAGGAGGCUCUCUUCUCUAUUGGAGGAAGCUUGGGCAUAGAACAUCAAAGUUCACCCCCACAGUGAUGCACUUCCUCCAACAAGGCCAAGGCCACACAUCCUAAUAGCAUUUUCCAUGGGCCAAGCAUAUUCAAACAUGCACUCUGCUUAGAUUUAAGGGUGCCCUGAUAGGUUGAAUGUGGACAUGAAAAUAUGGUGAAAACUAGAACCAGUUGUGGAAGGGGUAGUCAACUAUGAUAAAGAAGGGAGAACCUGACCCAGCCCCAAAGUUGCUGAAAGUUUACAAUGAGGUGUAAGAGUCUGUCUCUGCUGUUGAUGUCUGUCCAUCCGUUCUGGUGGUCCCUGAGGGUCUGCUGCCUCUUUCCUGCUUCCUUUGCUAGGUGCACUCUGUCGUCUGUCUUACUGUACUGUCUGUUGCUAACUGUCUGCUUCCUGGGAUGUCUGGACAGUCAGGGAGCUCUAAACUUGGGUCCCCAUAUGCCAUUAGGAAAACCACAAUACAAAUCAAGUAGUAAACAUAUGGAAAACUAUAAAAUUAAGAGAGAUGUAGUGGAAGAACAAGCCAGGACUAGUGAGACGGCUUAGCUGGUAAAGGUGCUUGUAGAACAAGCCUAAAGACCUGAGUUCAAUUUCUAGAAUCCAUGGUGGAAGAGAAGCCACUUCUAAAAGUUGUGCUCUUGUGUGCCUGCACUCACACAGAUCACAUGCACACCUAUGCGCACGCAUGUGCGUGUGCACACAUACACACACUCACACAAAUAAUUAAACU